rnacentral:rRNA from 1 species
GUAACGGCCCACCAAGGCAACGAUCGGUAGCCGGACUGAGAGGUUGAACGGCCACAUUGGGACUGAGACACGGCCCAGACUCCUACGGGAGGCAGCAGUGGGGAAUAUUGCACAAUGGGGGAAACCCUGAUGCAGCGACGCCGCGUGGAGGAAGAAGGUCUUCGGAUUGUAAACUCCUGUUGUUGAGGAAGAUAAUGACGGUACUCAACAAGGAAGUGACGGCUAACUACGUGCCAGCAGCCGCGGUAAAACGUAGGUCACAAGCGUUGUCCGGAAUUACUGGGUGUAAAGGGAGCGCAGGCGGGAAGACAAGUUGGAAGUGAAAUCUAUGGGCUCAACCCAUAAACUGCUUUCAAAACUGUUUUUCUUGAGUAGUGCAGAGGUAGGCGGAAUUCCCGGUGUAGCGGUGGAAUGCGUAGAUAUCGGGAGGAACACCAGUGGCGAAGGCGGCCUACUGGGCACCAACUGACGCUGAGGCUCGAAAGUGUGGGUAGCAAACAGGAUUCGAUACCCUGGUAGUCCACACCGUAAACGAUGAAAGGGGGUGUGGGAGGAUUGACCCCUUCAGUGCCGCAGUUAACACAAUAAGUAAUCCACCGGGGGAGUACGACCGCAAGGUUGAAACUCAAAGGAAUUGACGGGGGCCCGCACAAGCAGUGGAGUAUGUGGUUUAAUUCGACGCAACGCGAAGAACCUUACCAAGUCUUGACAUCCCUUGACGAACAUAGAAAUAUGUUUUCUCUUCGGAGCAAGGAGACAGGUGGUGCAUGGUUGUCGUCAGCUCGUGUCGUGAGAUGUUGGGUUAAGUCCCGCAACGAGCGCACCCUUACUGUCAGUUACUACGCAAGAGGACUCUGGCAGGACUGCCGUUGACAAAACGGAGGAAGGUGGGGAUGACGUCAGAUCAUCAUGCCCUUUAUGACUUGGGCUACACACGUACUACAAUGGCGUUAAACAAAGAGAAGCAAGACCGCGAGGUGGAGCAAAACUCAGAAACAACGUCCCAGUUCGGACUGCAGGCUGCAACUCGCCUGCACGAAGUCGGAAUUGCUAGUAAUCGUGGAUCAGCAUGCCACGGUGAAUACGUUCCCGGGCCUUGCACA